rnacentral:rRNA from 1 species
GACGAACGCUGGCGGCGUGCUUAACACAUGCAAGUCGAGCGGUAAGGCCCCUUCGGGGGUACACGAGCGGCGAACGGGUGAGUAACACGUGGGUGACCUGCCCUCAGCUCUGGGAUAAGCCUGGGAAACUGGGUCUAAUACCGGAUAUGACUCCAUGACGCAUGUCGUGGGGUGGAAAGCCUUGUGCGGCUGGGGAUGGGCCCGCGGCCUAUCAGCUUGUUGGUGGGGUGAUGGCCUACCAAGGCGACGACGGGUAGCCGGCCUGAGAGGGCGACCGGCCACACUGGGACUGAGACACGACCCAGACUCCUACGGGAGGCAGCAGUGGGGAAUCUUGCGCAAUGGGCGAAAGCCUGACGCAGCGACGCCGCGUGAGGGAUGACGGCCUGGUGU